rnacentral:rRNA from 1 species
AUACGGAAGGUCCGGGCGUUAUCCGGAUUUAUUGGGUUUAAAGGGAGCGCAGGCGGAGAUGCAAGCGUGACGUCAAAUUUCGGGGCUCAACCCCGUCUCGCGUCGCGAACUGCGUCCCUUGGUUGCGGGAAGGGGAGGCGGAACUCGUGGUGUAGCGGUGAAAUGCAUAGAUAUCACGAAGAACUCCGAUCGCGAAGGCAGCCUUCCGGCCCGUCAACGACGCUCAUGCUCGAAGGUGCGGGUAUCAAACAGGAUUAGAUACCCUGGUAGUCCGCACAGUAAACGAUGGACACCCGCGGUUUGGCCUGUAUGGCUGAGCCGCCAAGCGAAAGCGUUAAGUGGCCCACCUGGGGAGUACGCCGGCAACGGUGAAACUCAAAGGAAUUGACGGGG